AUCUAGAAAUGUUUUGUUUCAAUGUCCAGAACGUGUUGACUGCUGUGUUACACCCCCAACACUGCUGCUGUCGUGUCCAACAUUUUGUUAAUUGCAGGUGACUUCAUCUUGUUUCUAAUAGCCAAAUUUUUGCAGACCUCGUGGAGGCCAGCACCUCGCACAGCACGCCUUCGGACAGCCAGCCGGUCACCCUGUCCAGAGCAGCUCAUGAUCUCGCGGAGGCCAGCACCUGGCACGGCACGCCUUCGUACAGCCAGCUGGUCACCCUGUCCAGGGCAGCUCCUGAUCUCGUGGAGGCCAGCACGUCGUAUGGCACGCCUUCGGACAGCUAGCCGGUCACCCUGUC